rnacentral:pre_miRNA from 1 species
CAAGUACUCCCUCCGUCCGGACUUACUUGUCAUCAAAAUGGAUGUGUCUAGAACUAAAAUACAUCUAGAUACAUCCAUUUCAAUGACAAGUAUUUUCGGACGGAGGGAGUACAAG